UACGUAGGGGGCUAGCGUUGUCCGGAAUCAUUGGGCGUAAAGCGCGCGUAGGCGGCCCGGUAAGUCCGCUGUGAAAGUCAAAGGCUCAACCUUUGAAUGUCAGCGGAUACUGCCGGGCUAGAGUCCGGAAGAGGCGAGUGGAAUUCCUGGUGUAGCGGUGGAAUGCGCAGAUAUCAGGAGGAACACCAACGGCGAAGGCAGCUCGCUGGGACGGUACUGACGCUGAGGCGCGAAGGCCAGGGGAGCAAACGGG
rnacentral:rRNA from 1 species